AUGAUCAAUUUGAAAGAUGAAUUUUUAAUUUAUACUUCGGGUGUUUUUCGUAUCGGUAAAAUUUUUUCUGUAAGUUGGUAGUACUGUUAGUGACAUCUAUGCUAAAUUUCUCGUCAAAAUAUUCAUUAGUAUUUGAGAUACGCGUCGUUUUGUGAGGCUCUAUACAUAUGUGAAUUCUUCGAUUUUUACUAUGUCUGAAUUUAUUGAACAAAGAAGUGCGAUUAUGCACCAUCUCAUACUGCAUUGGAUAUUCGUGAAUAUUUCGCCACAUUUUCAGUUAAUAUCGCCUGAUUUACCUCCGUGUAACCUCUGGCUAUUCAGCAAAUUCACAUGACCACUCCGAGGACAUUGUUUUGACUCAAUUGAAGAUAUAAAAGCUGAAUGGAAGAAGGUUCUGAUGGCCAUCACGACGGAGGAUUUUUCCAAGUGCUAUGAUGACUGGAAAAUUUGUUGGCAUAAGUGUAUUGCAGCGGGGGGGAUUAAUUUGAAGGAGAUGAAAUGGACAAAAUUCACCUUUUAAUUUGAUCACAGUAGUAUUUAAAACAUUAAAAUGGAGGCGUCCUUUAAUAAGAGUGACGGAACAAUUACAUUUUUAAUUAUAAUUAAUUUUUAAUUACAAACAGUACAAAACUUAAAAAAAGUGGGGGCUACGCCUCAGAGUUUGCAUAAUUUUUAUACUCUAACUAGCUGUCCCCGUAGGCGCUGUUCUGCGAGAAAUUAUGUGUUUUGAAAUGAAAAGAAAGGUGAACUUACAUUGUGGUAAAAAUCAUUUAUUUUCGAUUUUUUCGAAACAACAUAUUUUGGUUUCUGUCCCAGUGCGUAAAUGUACAGAGAAGAUGGUUUUCCAACUCAAGAACACGCCACGUAUAACCGGCCGUGUGAAAAGCAUAGCGUUUCCAGAUUUAUGCCACACUUCUAGCGACUAUCCUUGUGUCCUGUUGAUUGCUUUCGCAAAUGCAAUUUUCAAUUGAAUACGUUCGAACUGAAAUGGCAAAUCGUUGGAACUCAAAGGAAUUCGUAGAAUCAAGCGUUCUGCCCCUUGUAUUUGAUAGCUGCGGCACUAUCCGUAGGGUUCUAUUACAAAAUUUCGGCGCAUGAAGAUUGCGAAACAUAAUAAUGUCAGAUCCAAGUUUGAGACGCAAAUAAUUCGGCGGCAUACCAAGCCUCUCCAAAGAUUUUAGAUAUUCUACUGGACAAUUCACGGUUUCAUUUUUUUGGCAGCUAAAAUUGAGCAACACUCAAGUAAUCGUAGUUACGCUAAUUUGGCCAAUGUUCGGAUAAAGAUUCGUGAUGAGUUUAUACAAGUAUUUCGUUGAAGUGAAUUAACAAAAGGCAGAUAGAAUUGAUAACAAACCACUGGAAGUAUCAACCGGAAUUAGCCAAUUUCCAAUUCUUAUCGAAAACGAUGUAAAAUGUUUUCGGCAAUGUAAUUCUUGUUCGUAUCCCAUAAUUGGCGUGAAUUCGAAGGCUGAUAUGUCGAAAUGAUCAUUGCGAACUUCAGUGGCAUGCGAAGUAGCUAUCGAAUCCUCCAUCGUUUGACUCCAUUGAUUAUCAUGUUCCAGCAAUUGGAAUUGCUGGCUUCCUUCUCAAAAAGUUACACACACCGUACCAUUCACAGUACGAAAUGACUCAAAUGAAAUUGAACCAUGUACAUUUAUCAAUAGCAACCGAAAGUAGAAGCAAUCCUCGUUUUUCGGGUAGAUUGUGUACAUUCGUCCUAAUGCAUUAGUUGAGAACAGAUGGAUGUCCAUCUAUUGGUUGAUCUUGCUUUCUGCAUAACUAUUUCUUCGACGAUGCAGUCCAUGUAUAAUAUCAAGGCAAGACGCAUGUUGAGAAAAAACUCGUCAAGAGCUAUUUUGUUGCUAGCGGUGUUUCCACUGGCUCUAAUUUAUUCCCUGGGUUGAAAUACACUCUUUGGUCAUUCUCCCAAUGAGCAGCGAGACGCAUAACAGUAGGAAAACGUUCAUGAAUUGCAAAAGUAAAUAUCCUACAAAGCGUUUUAUUGCAGUUAACGUAUCGACCCAUUUGAUACUUGCUGAUCUCAUCUCAUCCAAAGAAGAAGCUGUGAUAUCGUGACGAUCGCUUGCUGAUUGACCGCGAUCCGUAAUUCUAGACGUAUGUCAUCGCAUCCUGGGAGUACUCGUUCAUGUGUCCUGGGCUGUCAUACGUUGGUUGCUAAAAGAAAGCCGACCGAUAUUAGCGCGACCUCUUCGUGGCAUCGUGACAAAUUUCAAUCUGUAAUUGAUCACUUUGUGGGAAAUACACAUAAAGUUUUCACUGAAUAAUUUUCAAUAUCCCCGAUCCACAACGAACAACGCCUGAAAAUUUCAUCAAGAUUGGUGUAGCCGUUUUCAAGCCUUAGCCUUAGCUUACUAACAAACAAGCAUUCAAGAACAGGGCUGUUUGUUGAGUUAUGCGCUUAGCAACACAUUUUGCGAUUAAUAUUUAUAUAAUAGAAGAUAUACUGUAAUAUGUCGCUACAGAGUAUAUUAAUUAGGUCAACAAUAACGAUCGUUUGUAUCACCCAAAAGUAGUCGAGAUAUAUAGAUACUUAUAUGUACAUAUACGGUACACUUAUCUAAAUGACAGGAUGACCAUAGAAGUUGAAAUCCGGAUAACUGUCUGUCCGUCCGUGCAAGCAUGAGUAAAGACUAAAAUAUCUUAAUGAAUCUUGGGACACUUGUAUCUUGGCAUCAUAAAAAGUUCGGUAUGGGCGGAAUGCGACCACGAAACGCCAUUAAUCUAUAAAGUGCGGCAACUGAAAAGUAAAAAAAAUAACCUACACAACUGUAAUUGGUGCAACAGAUCGUAAGAGGGAGUGGGUAUAGGCUUCAUGUAUAUAUUUCUCAAACCCAUCAAAUUAUAUCAAUCAAAUUUUCUUAGGAAACAUCUUUUCAACACCUCCUACGAUAGUGUAAGAAUAGAUGAAGUCGGGUGGUAACCUUAUCAUGGUUUUGUUGAAAACUACUAAAAGUGCGAUACCUCACUAACUAAACCAGUCCCAGAUAUAAAUUCCACAGAUAAAAUGGUAAGAAAAGGCUUUGUAUGAGCCGGUGUAAAUAUUGGCCCCCUCCUAUAUCUCAAGAGCUAAUUAACAACUCUACCAGUUACAUUACGAAGAUUCUAUCUGAUUCUGUCACUUUACAGUAUAUAAAUCAAGUGUUAAGGAAAAUAUCGUAAUAAAACUUUGAACAAAGAGUUUCUUAAGAGCAUGGUAUCUUACGUAUAAAAAUUGUCGAAAUCGGACAAUAAAUUGCCAAGUCCCCAGAUACAGUAUAUGUAGACUUCGGUGCCUGUAACUGCUCUUGUAAAAAUGGGUCAAAAUAUAACCUAGCUCUCAUAUACUUAAUAAUAGAAUUUCAGCAUCCGGUUGGCUCUACACCUUUGGCAAUACGAGAACCAAUAAUUUUGGAUAUAAUCUAUAAUAUUGAAGCAUAUGAACGAACCUAUUUACUGUCAGUUGGACUUUUUAAUAUAUCGGCACAGUCGCGCUGAUUUUAACCCCGCAUCUCGACAGGCUAAGGUUUAUGGCAUACCAACUGUCAAAUCUAUUGUCAUUGCCAAAUUUGCAUGUGAACGAACAUUUGUUAUCAUGACAUGAUCAUUUGCGAAAAGGGUAGGUGGGUUCGAGCUGAUGUAGGGCAUGUUUUGAGCUCUUGAAGUGUUUCGAUUUUUAUAUGGAUAAAAAAAAUGUAUAUGGAAAAUAAAAAAAGGAGAAAUAUACUUUUUUCUACAAAUCUACUUCUUGAAAAAAAAUCAUAUUUUCGGACUAUAAUACUUGUAGCAUAAAUUUUAUAUACCAAUUAAAAUAAUAAAUUGAAUAAGCAAUGAUAUCUUGAUUUAUGCUUGUAUAAGUUUAUUAAAUUUAAGACUUCGCUCAGUUGCCAAUCCAUUUUGUAUAAUUUUUCUGCAAAAACAAUAUGAGAAUGUUUUUGUAUAAUUUAACAAAACCGUCUUAAUACUCGCUCUACUAAAUUUAAUAUUACCGAAAUUAAACUGCCGUCGGUAUAUACAUAUAUAAAUGGGAUCUUCGAAAUUUUCAUACAAAUGAAAACUGAUCAGCCGAAUUGCAGCAGGGUUGAGUAUGGUAACUCCCAAUGAUUGUCAAUGUCAAUAAUUGCGUUAUUGAUAUUUUUAAUACUAAGAAAUAACGUUAGAUUCACUAUGAAAAUAAAAUUAAUUGAGAGUUACAUACACUGAAAAAUUUAAAUGUAUCGUAUAAUGGUCCCUGCUGAGAUCGAUACAUAAAAAAAAAAACAAAAAAUAAAUGGGGAAAAUUGGAGGAACUUUUUGAAAAUUGUAUAGAAGCAAAAGAUGCCGCCUUCGUUUUCACCCCUCCUUUAUAACGGUUGCUGGUUAAGAAGUGACAACGGGGCUCGCCUGAGGAAAUAGCUGAUUGAUUAAUAAAACUACACAUAUGUAUAUGAAAAUUAUAGUAUACUAUAAUUAUUAUAUUCGAUUAACAUUUUGCAGAUCUGUAAAUGGAACUGAAUUAUAUAAGCAUUGCGAUAAAAAAUCCAAGAAUGAUAAUAUUUGGGUUGAACCACCCGAUUCUUCGACCUAUCCGAUAAGCACACCAAAUUUCAUAAAAUCGAUCUAACCGUUUCGGCAACAAACACCGUAACACAAGAGUUUUAUGCACGAUAUAGGAUAUAUUUUAUAAGAUCUCCAACGUUUCCCUCUGGAUGUUAAAAUUUUCUUUAUAAAAUGAAUACAUACAUAUACCUUGGUAGUUGUUGCAGCGGCAGAAAACAUUCCUGAAGGUUCAAGGUUUGCGCUCCAACACGUCAACCGUGGUAAAUUUUUUGUAAAAACAGAUGUUUUCAUUACACAUGUUUUACGAUUUUGUCUCUACUUUGUAUUUUUAUCACCUGCAUGAGUAAUUUUUCAAAAAAACUGUGGAUAUUAUCCCACACAAUCAAUUUGAUACAUAUGUACAUAUGUAGUAUACCUUUUGAGAAGAAAAAUAUUUUCGUUUCCUCUUAAAGACUUUUCACUGCGUUACUGCUCAUAUGAUUCAUACUUUUAUACUCUUACAACAUGUUAAUACAGAGUAUAGUAGUUUUGUUUAUACAAUGGUUAUUUAUAUCACUUAAAACUAGUUGAUAUAGAUAUAGGUAUAAAUAUAUAAAUAGUCAGGAUACCGAGAUGAGUUGAAUUCCGAGUGACCGUCUGUUUGAGUAAAAUUGAGAUAUCAUCACGAAGCUUUAGGUUUAAUGUAUUUAUCCCAAACCAUUCAAGCUAUAUUACCCAAAUUUGCACAGGACAAAUCAUUUCGAUACCUCUAUUCCAUCUAGAAAAACUUUAAAUUCCAUCCAAUUUUUUCACUUUACAGUAUACAAAUCGAGCAUCAAUUAUUAUUACGUAGUCUUUUCGUAUUUCUAAUCUAACUUCAACUUGUUUUUUUUUUAUAUUUAUAAUAAUAAAUAAAUAAACAAAUAUGUAUCAUUUUGGUCGAUUUCUUUUUGCUAUUUUUCCGCCAGAGACAUUAUUCCAUCAGUGUAAAACUUUCAUCAGUGUAAAUCGAAAUUUCCAGAACGGAAGAGAGCGAACCAUUGUUGUGCUACAUGAACUGAUACAGUAUCGUUUCCGUCAACUUCACAUUUCAAAAUGUAACGAAUUUCUUCAUUAUUUUCACUAAUUUUUGAACAGCUGUAACUUUUUCAACUUCCCCGAGUUUAAUCUUUUUUUAGUUAAAUGAAGCUUAAAACUCAUCUUUCCAACACUAAAUGGUAUGACACAAUGUAAUUGGUAGCACUGGAGACGAAAAGACUUUUUCAACUACCCAAUAUUUAGGGAUACAACUUUUCACGAAUAUUGCCUUAUAGGUAUAUUAUCUCAAGUCAAAAAAUUGACAAAAUCGGAUCAAAAUUAUUCCAGCCUCAGAUACCGGAAAUGUGGACUCUAGAACCCAUGACGGACUAUUUAUCGAAACUAUUGAUCAAUGUGUGAGAUAUAAAAGUGAAAUUAAGGGAGAAUUCUAAUAGAAUCGGUUCACUAUUUCCCUUAGCCGCCAUAAACCUGAUACAAAGAUUUUAGGACUUCCGGCUUACUUUAUAUUAUAUAAUAUAUUAUAUAUUUAUAUUAUAUAAUAUGUGUAUACAGCAAAUAUUUAAUUUAUUUUAAUAAAUUUGACAGAAUCUAACAGUGCAUCAUUGUGCUUUAAAUGGAUAAAAUUGGGUAAAAACUUGAACUAGAUUUUAAUCAAAUUAGCUGACGCGAAGAAAAUUAUUGCCGUAAAAAUAAUUGAGUCUAUAACCAAUAACAAUAACUUAAAAUAUACCAAAUUUGACCGUAACCCAUUCACCAUUUUUUCGAAUAUUGAUUGUUGAAUUCUUUUCUUUUUCCUUUUCUUUUUAAUAUUAUAUAAAGUUUUUGAUCCCUGCAUGUUGCAAGAGUAUAAAAUUUUCGGUUACACUCGAGUUUAUUCCAUCCUUACUUAUUAUAUAUGAAUUUGAAUAUGUUUCUGUAUGCAUUUGCCGACGGCUACACGAUUCGUUCAGUUCGUCGAAGUCACUUUGCGGCAUAUCAACAGCAAGCAGGUGCUUAACACCGAAAAUGCGGCUGUCGAUGUUGAUGUUGAUCUUGAAGACAAUUUCUAUGCCGUUCUUUAUCGAUGUUGACUGUGGUUGUCAAAGACAAUAUGAUUGAUCGCGCUUAUUCCCGACGUGCGUGGUUACUACAACUUCAGGAACACCUCUGUAUUAAUUAAAUUUCUUAAUAAUUAGGUAGUUUUGUUACAGUGAUACAUUUACUGACUUUUAACAAAAAAGUAUGUAUAAAGAGUUAUUAGCAUAUGCUAAAAGGGCACUUGGAAUAUAUGUAGAAUCAUGUAGUAGUAUGCACAUAUGUGUAUACACAAAACACUCUGCAAGAUUUUCACAAAAUAAGAAGCUUAAUUUUCUAUAAAUUUUUAUUUAGUAAAUUUGGGGUAAGUAUAUUGUGUAUACUACUGCGAGCAAAAUAUAGUAAGAAUUUUAAAUUUAAAUUUUGCGCGAAAACCCAUUCGUGGAUAUAUAUUUUUUCUAGGUUGAAUAUGUUCAAAAUGUUGGAAAACGGAAAAUUUCUUUUGAUUGGUACAAAUUAUUUAAAGAGGGUCGUGCACGAGGAACCACGUCAUCAACUCGCCAAUAAACUAAAGGUAAGGGAUUCACAAUGAGAUUUUUUACUAGCAUCGAUGGAAUAUAUUUUGAAAUAUCAUUUGGGCAUAAGAAAAAUGAAAGCACGAUUGGAUCCAAAAUUAUUAAAUUUUUUCGAAAACAGCGUCUCAUUAACGUUUGUAAAACAAUGAAUUCCAGCAUGUCAUGAAACGUAUUAUACUGGCGAUUAAUCUUAGAUCUGUGUUUACAGAGGAUCAGUUGGCCGAGUUUCGUUAGCCGAAGCCUAAAAAACCACAUCAAAGCAGGUCAAAAGAUAAGGUUAUUUUGACCAUUUUCUUCGAUUUUCGAGGAGUAGUGCACACCGAACUCCUUCCGACCGGCCAAACUGGCAAUAAAGAAUAGUAUUUCAGAGUUAUGCAUCGUUUUCGCGAAACUACUCGUAAAAAGAGGCCGGAAUUAUGAGCCGAAAACUCUUGGUUUUUGCACCACGACGAAUGCACCGUCACAUACUGCAUUGAUUCUUCGUAAGUUUUUCGCCAAAUUUUCAACUAAUAUCAUGCCGCAAACACCGUAUUCGUCUAAUUGCGCUCCGUGUAACUACCGGCUUUUUUAAAGACUAAAUUCUUCUUCUUCUUCUUCUUUAUUGGCGUAGACACCGCUUACGUGAUUAUAGCUGAGUUAACCUCCAACGGAGUGGAGGUCUUCCUCUUCCUCUGCUUCCGCCGGCGGGUACUGCGUCGAAUACUUUCAGAGUUGGGGUGUUUUCGUCCAUUCGGAAAACAUGACCUAGCCAGCGUAGCCGCUGUCUUUUAAUUCGAUGAACCAUGGCCGGCAUGGACGUCGUUUAUUUCAUACAGCUCAUCGUUUCAUCGAAUGCAAUAUUCCCCGUGGCCAACGAGCAAAGAACCAUAAAUCUUUCACAGAACCUUUCUCUCGAAAACUCGCAACGUCAACUCAUCAGUUGUUGUCAUCGUCCAAGCCUCUGCACCAUAUAUUGUUCGUCGAUAGAGGACUUAACCUCUCAAUUGCCUACUCAGUCCGAAGUAGCACCUGUUGGCAAGAGUUAUCCUGCGGUGGAUUUCUAGGCUGACAUUGUUAGUGGUAUUUAUAUUGGUUCCAAGGUAGACGAAAUUAUCUACGACUUCAAAGUUAUGACUGUCAAUGUGACGAGAGAGCCAAGCCGCGAGUGCGACGACUGUUUGUUUGAUAACAGGAGAUAUUUCGGGAGGAUGGAGUCAUGUGUAGAAGUUCACGCAAGUGAUGAAAGUUCUCUGAUCGCCAUUCACUUGAGAGUGGCCAGAAAGGAUGUAUCCUUUGGUAGCCUAAGAACAUCCGUUUGAAGACGAGCUAAAGUGAGAAAAUGAAACAUCCCCUCCACAGGAUUGUGCGCUGGGUUUGGGACCCGCCACGUAAAAAAACAGUACCAAUGAAAACUAAUCGACAGCCUCUGAUGAGAGACCCCCUUUUUCAUGACGACCAUGGCAAACGAUAUAAAGACUACGAUUUGAGGUCAAGCACCUGGAAUAUCCGAUCCCUUAAUUGGGGAGGUGCUGCUGCCCAGCGGAUUGGUUGAAAGAAUAAAUUAAGAAUUUUAAAACUAUAUAUAAGCAAAGUCUUACUAUCUUUUGCUCAUAGUAGUACUACAUAUUAUAGGAAAUGACGCCGCUUAAGCGUCUGCUUUUUCAAUGUAAUGAUGGCUGCAGAUUGCCAAUGAGGCCUCAAUCUAUUCAAAACAUUAAAAUUUAAUUCUUAAAAAAUAUAUUGUGUAUGAAUUGUAAAAUUUCAAGUAAGAAUAUAACCAUGACGUCAGGGGUGGGAAAGUAAACUUUGACGGAAGAGUACGGGAAACCCCCAGGUACUUAGUUUGUAGCUCGAAGGAUAAAUGAUGACGAUGGUUGCACCAAAUGCAAAAAUCUAGCGAUAAAAUGUUCGAAAAUCAGUGCUAAAUUUACAGAAUUACAACUUUGAUGUUGAUGGUGCUGUCGGAGUAGCCGCCUCGAAGAAAGAAAAGCAUUGCUGGAGCUACAUAUUUCAAAAUUCCUCCAUAGAACAGACGUUAACAUUUCAAAACAAUUCAAAGCUUUAGGUUUAAUGUAUUUAUCCCAAACCAUUGAAACUAUAUUACCCAAAUUUGCACAGGACAAAUCAUUUCGAUACCUCUUGCGAUAAUGCAACUAAAUGCGUCAAAGAAAUUAGAUUUCAUAUUCGGGAUGGUACGAGGUGGCUGAUGGGAAAAUUGAACAACAGGAAUGGCACCGCUCAUGUUUAAGUGAAAUAACAUAUACAUAUAUCUCGGUAUCCACUCGACCAAUUUCUUCCGUAUUUGGUACAUAGUAUUAUUUUAUCAUGUUAAAGUGCGAAAAUGGGCGAAAUUAAACUGCAAUCACGCCUAUAUCCCAUCUAGAACAACUUUAAAUUCCAUCCAAUUUUUUCACUUGCAAAAACACUUACUCUCUUGUUUAUCGCGCCUUUUUAGUAAACAAAGAAACUGCUGAUGAAAUAGAAAUUUUGUCAGACACUUCAGAUGGAGAAGAAGUCAGCCAGGAACCCAAAGUGACAUAUGCGGAAGCAAUUCAAAGCGUAAACAACUUGAUCCACUGGUUUAAAAAUGAAAACGAUGCAAAUCAGGUGUCAGACUUUUUGAAUUGUCGUACAAAAAUGGUCAGAAAAUAUAUUGCAAAAGAAAAAAAAACAAAAGAAUAUUCAAGAUUUUUUCUCUUCAUAGUAAAUACAUAUGUAUGUAUGUAAAUGUGAAUAUGUUUUUCAUGUAAAUCCAUAUGUUUUAGUGAAGCAAAUAAAUGAAUGAAUUUUUUAAGUUUAAAAAUGCAUUUAAUAUUAUAAAAACAGAUAAUUUAUGUAUAUAUUUGGAAAAGUAAAUUAUUCGAAAAAGGAAAUUACCCAAAACACCAAUCGAUUUACUUUUCGAGA